AUCGUCACGUGAAACGCGUGCAAAACUAAUGAUGCACUGUGAUAUGUCCUCCUAUUAUGUAUGUAUCUGCUCUUUCCGUUGAUCACUGCAUUGCGCAGCAACGCAUGCAGUUCGCGUGCGCCGAUUCAGAAGGAGAAUUUACGAUAAGAAGUAAAGAAUUUUCAUAGAUUGAUCGUAAAUCUACUGGUUCGAUAAGAAACUAGGUCUUUAAAGUAGCAUGUAUUUUGUUAUCUUAUAUAUUACUAUAAUUUCUUAAUAGUUGCACAAACGUAGCUUCGUAUAUACGAAAUUCUAUGCGUUCUAUAGAUUGAUCAUAGACAAUCGUUUCAGGAUAAACGAAUAUUGAGAUGAGAUCAAUGGUGAUUGAAAGGGGGCGCGAAAAAUUGGACUCACCGUGAUGAAUAGUCGACAGCAGAACCACGAGGACGAGGGUGACGAUCGGCGCGAGACGGUUUGCAAUCAUGAUCACGAUCACCGGACCAUGUGUUUCAGGCUAAUCACGUUGCAGUCAGUCACUUCGGACGUGUUGCCUCCACCCU